AGGGGCAGCUGCAGGCAGGAGGGCAGGAGGAUUUGAGCAGCUGGGCUAAGGUCAGGCACAGAGGCUUGGGCUCAGCAGACAGCCAAAUGCUCGGCCCAGCUGCUACUGCCUCUUUCUGGGCCCUGUGCAGGAGGCAGACGCUGGCUGCCAGGCUGGCGGGCUCCCCUCCACGGCUGCAAGGCCACCCAGGCCCAGGGGUCUGCUCUUCCCUCUCCUCCUGCUGAAUGGCAUUCUUUCCUUUUCUUUCUCUGUCUCCUCACUCUCCCUUUCCUUCUAUUCCUUUUCUCCCUCAUCUCUUUGUGUCUUCAUUUCUGUCUUUGUCUUAUCCUAUGUCUCUCUUCUUUGUAUUUUUUCCCUCCCUCUCUCAGUUUCUUGGCCUCUCUUCAUCUCUCUGUCUCUGGGUUAAAAGUUGUAGGAAAAGGAUAGGAGGUGGGGCCCAAGAGGAAUCCCAGAUGAAACUGAGCUGAGCUCCUACUACGAUUUCAAUGUCUGUGUUUCCCCAAAAUUUAUAUGUCGAUCCCUAAUCUCCAGUGCAAUAGUAUUAGGAGGUGGGGCCUUUGGAAAGUGACUAGGUCAUGAGAGUGGAGCCCUCAUGAAUGCAACCAUAAGAGAGGCCUGAAGGAACUGUUUGCACCUUCUGCCAUGUGAGGUCAUAGCUACAAGGCGCUAUCUAUGAAUGUAUGAACAAGAAAGUGGGCUGUCAUCAGACAUCACACCUGCCACCACCUUGAUCUUGAACUUCCAGCCUCCAGAACUCACCUGGCAUGACAGUAAAUUCAUGCAUAAAUGCCCAAGGUCACAGAGCUGGGAUGAGAACCCAAGGCCUUCAGAAUGUCCAUCAAACUGUCGCUUCCUGACCUCUCGAAAUCACAGAAGCAAGAUCAGAUUCUAGGACUGAAAGGGGAAGAAACAGAAUGUAAGUCCAGUGCCCCAGGUUAACAGAAGAGGAAACAGAGGCCCAGAUAGGGCAAGACCCAUGUCCAAGCCCACAGAAGCAGUUAGUUCUGGCCGAGCCAGGCCCGACUCCCUGCCCAUCCUCCUGUAGUCUUAUAAAACUCAUCCCUUUGCUACCUGCAGGGGACUAAGGGAGUGCCUCUCUCUGGCUGCAGCUGGGUGGUUUUGUAGAGGAUGUGGCUGAGAGUUCGUCAGCUGUGGCCCCACUCAGACAGCUCUCUGUCCAUGGGUGGCUUUGUAUUGGAGUGUGCUAUCAAAGGACUUGACCUGGAUCGAACCAAUGGCCAAUUACGCCUUCCUGUGGUGCACUGAGCUGAGCUUACUCAAGGCUGACAGGCUGAGGGGGUAAACAACAGUGCAUGGGCAUGCCAUCCAAAUCACCCUACCUAUCCAAGCCUGGCGUGCAGCCAGGCAUCCAUUAGCUGUGUUACUCACUGGCUCUCCUUCAACCAUCAUUAGUCUCUCUGUUGUAAACAUGAGAAAAAAUGAAGUUCAGAGAGGAGAGGUAAGCAGCCUUAAGUUACACAGCUGGUAAGUGGAUAAACCAGGAUGCCAAGCCAGGCCUGCUGGAAUGCAAACCCAUACUCUCCCUGCUUUACAAAAAUCCCUACAUUCUGCAAGAGAGGCACUGAGUCUCCUCAUCUAGCACCUGUCUGUGGGGCCUCACUUUCCUCAUCUGUGAAAUGGGUGGGGUAUGAGAAAAGUACUCACUGGCCAGCCAGGACAAGGCACGAGUGGCAGCCAGGCUGGGGGCUGAAAAGAAUGGGAGCCAAGUCAAGAGCUCUCCCAUCAUUUCCAAGGGCACAGUAUUAACUCCCACAUUUGCCCAUCAUUUGUUCAAGCAAAACCUUGUUCACCAAGGCCCAGUGAGGGUCUGGAUGCCCAGAGGAGACUUUGGUCUGGAAGGAGGAAAUACUCUUUCUAUACCCAUAAAACCAGUGAGCACAGAAAAACAUGCCAGGUGCAAUGUUCCCUGGCAAUGUCUCCCAGAAAAUUCCAAAUCCUUCAGUGCUUGGUGAAGGGAAAAGCAGAUUUUGUGGAUAAUUGCUUUAGGAAAACCCUGAGUUGAAUGAAGCUCAGCAGAUGACUGCAGGACUUUUCAGAGCCUUUAAAAUGCUAACAAGCUUUCUAGUUCACCAAGAGAAGUGGAAUGUUUUCGAAACAUACUUGAUCAUGCAAAGUGUUUCAGAGCAUUUCAGAAGAACAAUGCCUGUGUUAUACCCUUUAGAAAACCCUGUGCUGGGGAAGAGGAAAGUAGGAAGAGCUACAGUAUAUAUUUAAUUUACGGUAAAGAGGCAAGUAAAUUAGAGGAGGACAUAUAUUGCCAAAUGAGGGGACAGCUUUUUCAGAAAUGUGGCAUUAAAAAUGCACAGGCUUCCCUCUCCCUCUCCCUCUCCCUGCCCUCUCCCUCUCCCUCUCCCUGCCCUCUCCCUCUCCCUCUCCCCACGGUCUCCCUCUCCCUCUCUUUCCACAGUCUCCCUCUGAUGCCGAGCCGAAGCUGGACUGUACUGCUGCCAUCUCGGCUCACUGCAACCUCCCUGCCUGAUUCUCCUGCCUCAGCCUACCGAGUGCCUGCGACUGCAGGCGCGUGCCGCCACGCCUGACUGGUUUUCGUAUUUUUUUGGUGGAGACGGGGUUUCACCGUGUUGGCCGGGCUGGUCUCCAGCUCCUAACCGCGAGUGAUCUGCCAGCCUUGGCCUCCUGAGGUGCCGGGAUUGCAGAUGGAGUCUGGUUCACUCAGUGCUCAAUGGUGCCCAGGCUGGAGUGCAGUGGCGUGAUCUCGGCUGGCUACAACCUCCACCUCCCAGCCGCCUGCCUUGGCCUCCCAAAGUGCCGAGAUUGCAGCCUCUGCCCGGCCGCCACCCCGUCUGGGAAGUGAGGAGCGUCUCUGCCUGGCCGCCCAUCGUCUGGGAAGUGAGGAGCCCCUCUGCCUGGCUGCCCAGUCUGGAAAGUGAGGAGCAUCUCUGCCCGGCCGCCAUCCCAACUAGGAAGUGAGGAGCGCCUCUUCCCGGCCGCCAUCCCAUCUAGGAAGUGAGGAGCGUCUCUGCCCGGCCGCCCAUCGUCUGAGAUGUGGGGAGCGCCUCUGCCCCACCGCCCCAUCUGGGAUGUGAGGAGUGCCUCUACCCGGCCGCGACCCCGUCUGGGAGGUGAGGAGUGUCUCUGCCCGGCCGCCCUGUCUGAGAAGUGAGGAGACCCUCCACCUGGCAACCGCCCAGUCUGAGAAGUGAGGAGCCCCUCUGCCCGGCAGCCGCCCCGUCUGAGAAGUGAGGAGCCCCUCCGCCCGGCAGCCACCCCAUCUGGGAAGUGAGGAGCGUCUCCACCCAGCUGCCACCCCGUCCGGGAGGGAGGUGGGCAUAUCAAUCACAGUGGUCCAAUGAGCCUUGAGCCAGAACUUCUGCUGGGAUUACUGGAAAAAAAGCUCAUUUAUUGCCAGAGUUCCUGCAAGCUUGGAGCUGCUAGAGGCCAUCUUUGCAACCUCGUGGGGAGAUCUUUCGGGAAAAUGAAACCAUCACAAAGGCAAGCAGAGUCUAGAGACUGAAACAGAUUUCUGUCAACAUCCUAUGGGCCCUUGCUCCCAGCCAUGCCUGAAGUUGGCUGUACCUCCGGGACCUAGACAUUUUAGUUACUCAAAAUAAUAAAUUCUCUUGUGUCCGAAACCAAUUUGAAUUAGGAUUCUGUCACUGGCAACUGACAGAAUCAACUGCCUAACAACAGUUAUAAAACAUAGUCCCAUACAGGUUUUUUGUUGUUGUUCUUCAACAAAUUGUUCUUCAUGCACAUUAUUCAUUCAUUCAAAAUAAUACAUAUUGGACAUGUAUUGUGUACAUGUAACCUAUACCGGUAAGGCUUCCAGGUACAGAUGUUCAAGUUGUGCACUACCCAACUCCAGGGGAUUGGCCUUCAUGUAGUGCACUACCCAACUCCAGGGGAUUGGCCUUCAUGUAGUGGCCCCCUUGGGUUACACAGUGCAGCACCCUUGGGCCAUGGGAAUAUACGAAUAUAUAAAUCAGCCCACCACACAGAAAGGGUCCAUGUCUCACUACAGCCUCUAAACCCUGCCAUUCUCUGGAGUGGUAAGGAAAUGAAGAGACUCUUUACAGUAGGAAAAACAUAAGGUGCGGUAUUAGGACACCUGGAUUGGCAUCUUCACUGUAUUAUUUACUAACCAAGUGUGAUGUUGGAUAAGCCAGUUAAGUUUUCUUAGCUGUUGCUUCUUUAUCUGUAAAAUAGGAAUGAUAAUAUUACCAUCCCUGUUGAAAUCCUUUUUUUUUUUUUUUUUUUUUUUUUGAGACGGAGUCUUGCUCUGUCACCCAGGCUGGAGUGCAGUGGCACAAUCUCAGCUCACUGCAAGCUCCGCCUCCCGGGUUCAUGCCAUUCUCCUGCCUCAGCCUCCCGAGUUGCUGGGACUACAGGCACCCACCAUCAUGCCCGGCUAAUUUUUUGUAUUUUUAGUAGAGGUGGGGUUUCACCAUGUUAGCCAGGAUGGCCUUGAUCUCCUGACCUCGUGAUCUGCCCGCCUCAGCCUCCCAAAGUGCUGGGAUUACAGGCAUGAGCCAUCGCGCCCGGCGGAAAUCCUUCCUAUCCUUCAAAGCCCAACACGAUCACCACCUCCUCCAAGAAGCCUUGCCUGAUUGUCUCCGUGGCCACAAAGUGGUGACUCAGGAGGAAAAGAGAGAAGUAAAGGCGCAUCAUGGGUGAAGAAAUGACCUGAGAACUUGAAAUCCAAGCCCGGCCCAUGCAGGCUGUUUUUCUUAGUCCUUCCUCGCAGCAGGGCUGAGGUGGGAGAAACCGGCUGUAAGCACACUCAGUGGGAUGAUUUGUGGAUCGCCUCCUGGACACCUCAGAGUGCUACCUUGAGUGAGGGGAGAACAGCUGUCCUCUCAUCUCAUCACCUAGAAUAAGAGAGAAGGCCUGUCUGUCACCUGCACCACCAAAGCUUGAGCACUAUCAAUUUGGGAAGAAGCGGCUGUAGUGGUCAUCCAGACAGCACCUAACUCCCCAGGGAAGCAGGCUCCAUUCUUCUCAUCCCUACCUGUUUUUCCCAUGGGUAGGGGGUGUGGAUAAACUGUGGAAGGCAGAAAUGACACCCCUGGCUUGUCAUCAUCCCCCAGAUUUCAGGGUGGAGGGACUCUCGCAGUCACCCAACCUGCCUGCUCUCUGGGGCUGACCUGCCUUCCCACUGGGACCCCUCCCUCCCAUCCAGGCCCAUUGGCUGGCCCCCCGAGCAGGAGGGAAAACACCCUCCAGCCCAUGGGAUUUGUUGCUUUCUUUCCCUCUCCACAGGGACCUGACAAGCCUCCAGUCCAGCUCUGUUCCAAAGCCUUCCAGACUCCCUGAUGUCUGCAUUUGCAUGGAAUCCAAUCUUCUACACAACCCCCUCACCUCCAGCCCAGCCCUUUCUUCAAACCCCCAGCCUAGGUGUUUGUCUCAAGGCAUUCCUCUUAAGCGUCCUGCUUCAUAAACUCCUUCUGAGAGUCUGCUUCCUGGAGAGCUCAACCUUCACCACUCACCCCCAAGAUCCAACUCAUAAAUUCUCCUGGACACUGCGAUGAGGCAGCUGGCUUUCUCCCUGGCACCAGCCCCAAGGGAGCCAGCCUUUGCCUAUAAUUGAUUCCUGGCCCUGACCCCCUCCUCCUGCCAGAGGCCCAUGCAGCCCAGAGGCUCCAGUGGCAAUGACCAUGUUGAGAUGCUUAAAUCCUGCCAUCUUGGCUUUUUCCAUUAUUUUUUAAACCUUGGGGGCCAUGGUAUCCAAGGUCCAUAGACACUGGGUGGCCAGUGAUAAGAGGUCCCUGUCACUCUGCCCCAGGAACAACUGACACCAGGCCUGGGCAGCCCUUCUUCCCCCUACAGGGGCCCUUGCUCCCUUUUGUCUUGACAAGAGGCCCCACCUCAUCCCAAGAGGUGCAGGAGGCCAGACUUUGCAGAGUAGCUGGCCAGAAUCAAGAGACCACAAUGAAUUUGUUUCUAAUGAUCGCUCCUUUUUGCUCCACCUGAGAUUGCCAGUAGAAGGGUCUGUUAAGACAAAUCUGAGUGAGUCGUUGCAUCUGGGAACCUGUACUGUCUCCUGAAUGUUCUCAGGUGAUAGCCCAAACCUGUGCUGAGAAAAGAAAUAAAGACAAGAAAGUUAGACAGGGCCCUCACUGGACAGAGGAUAACUGGCCAGCCCAACACUCCAGAUUUCAAUUUCCAUUGAGACUAAAGGGCCAUAGCGUAGGAGCAAUAGGCAGCUGGGCCGGAGUGGCCUCAGUGAGUCAAUGCAGGGAUAUUCACUGAGCAUGUAGCUUGGGCCAGGGACUGCUUAAAAGGAAGCUGCUGGGGGAACACCGACCAUGGUCCUCAGCAGAGCAGGAAGCUGGGAUCCCAGGAGCCAUGGCAAGCUCCAGAUGAGAAGUGAGUACAAACUUGCAGAACAGACAAAGAGUGAGGAAGUGGAGGCUAGGUCAAAAAGCGGAGAGUAAAGCAGGCUUCUGUCCUUCAAGGCCCAGCCCAGAAGACCCUAUGCCCAGUGAUAUAAGAUCCUCAUCACUCUGCCCCAGGAACAACUGGUAUGAUCCAUGAGCAGUCCUGGGCAGGGCAAAUACCUGGGCUUUGAGUACUGAAUAAGGUGCGAUGCACAGUCCCUAAGAAUCAUGAUGACAUCCUUAGAGUGUUAUCUUAAGGUAGCCCUGUUUAGUCCUUGCCUCUUAUCCACCCGCUACAAAGAGCAGUCAGUUUAAAAAAUGGCUUGGCUCACAGAUCAGGAACCCCUCAAGAGCAAAGACCUACCUCCCCCACUGCAGCCCAGCAACCUGUAGGGUUUUCCUGCAGUCGAACAAGUGUAGCUGGAAUUGCAUUCACCCACCUGUUCCUGAGUUCUCCUGGGACACAAUGUUGGAUUGGUGGGCACUAGUAUAUUCUUUUCACAAGUGCUGGAAUAUCACUAUUUCAAACAGCUUAAUGAUCAUUGUACAUGUGCCCUGAGCAAGGCUGCAUGAAUAACUAAAAUGUCAAAUGUCUUUGUUUUAGCUGCGAUUCUAUCAACUCUGCAGGUCUCAUAAGCAUGAGCCACAUGCCAAUUAGAAUCUCUGAUGGUCAAGUAUAAAUGUCUUUGUUUCAUAAAAAUGAAAGAAUGAGUUCAUUAUCACUUAACUCCCUCUAGAAGAAAUAAUCUUUUAAAAACUUAAGAUCCAUAAGGAGGAAAGAUGGGUUGUUAAAGCAGGUCCUCCCUAAAGAUUGCUUCCUUGCCUGUGAAUAGAAUGAAUCCAAUGGCAUCAUUUCCUAGAACCAAGUUGAAUUUCCCACUGGAACCAGAAUUCCAGAAAGCCCUGGACAUCACUCUACAUGUCAAGGCUGCAGACACACACACAUCAAUUCUGAAAGAGGGAGGAUUCCAAGAGUGAUGGUGCCUGCAGGGCCUUCUGAGAUAAGAUGAGGAGUCUUUCUGGUUUCCAAGGGGAGGAACCCAAGCUACAGUCUCACUGGCACCAAAGAUUAGAGAGGUUAGUGAUUGAGGACCCAGGGAGGCAGCUGCUCUCUGAAGACUCUUCCCUAGUGGAGCUAUACCUCAGCUCAAAAAGGCAACCACAAAUCUUGUGUCCAGCACAGCUCCAAUUCAAGCAAAUUUCAUUCUCUUUCACCAAGGAAAGUCUAUACACAUACACAUGUAUAUACACACAUGUAUGUAUAUAUGUUUAUAUAUGUGUGCAUGCAUACAUACAUACAUAUGCAUGUGUAUAAAAUGGGAUUUGAAUUAUAGACUUAGACCUGUCUUUUCAUCAAAAUAAAUAAACAAACAUGAAUUUACCCAUCAGAAAACUUCAGUUGUCAGGACCUGUGUCUGAUAUUUAGCUGGGGAAAUUUCCCCUGUCACUGGGGUGGUGGAUGUUGUCUCAGAGCUGAACACUGGGCUGGUGGGGUCAUCGGAGGAUGAUGAGGAUGAAUCAAGGCUGUUCUCCCACUUUCUCCAGGGCUGUGCCUGGGACCAUAUGUGUAUGUGUGGCUGAGAGGAGGCAUGGGUCCCAAGACAUGGGUCAUCAGAGACUGAAGCUCUCCAGGGCAGCCUGAGAGAUCUGGCAGGGCUCUGGGGGCGCCUCAGUUUUGUGAAUCACCGCCAUGUGGUGCCUUUGGAGUCAGCCAGCUCUGCCUCCUAACCCCAUCCCCUCACUCACCAGAUGUGUACCUGGGUCUCAAUUUCCCCCAUCUGUCAUUGAGGACAGUCAUACCGACCUCAGGGAGGGAUCAGGUGAGAUAAAUGUGAUGAUGACCAAAAUGCAAGACAAUUACUGAUCAUGAGCAGAUGAAGUCUAGAAAGGGGGAAAUUGGUCCACAGAACACAGUGGGUCAAUGAGGGACUUAGAACGAAAACUCGAGUCUUGGGUUCCCAGGCCAGACCUCCUUUCACUGCACCAGGGAUUUCAAAGUGGGAUCCACAGAUGUACUGUCAGGGGCCCUUGAGUGAUAUGAGAGUCUUUUUUUAUUCUGAUAUUUUCAUUUUAAAAAUUGAAAAAUAUCAGUGAGACCCUAUUGGGGUUGUGUGUGGAUGAUCAUAUUAUCACCAACUAAUGCUUCAGGAAUGCAGAGUUCACAUUUGCAUUUGGGUUUACUAUCAUGUUUUUGCAAAAUGAAGGCCAAAUGACUUCAUGGACUGCUGUACAAACAAAGGUUUAGCAAUUGUUCAAACAGAGAUAAGUGGAGGGAGGAUUGAGUCAUCAAACAGAACAGGGGACACAGACAUGCCACAAAUAAGCUGCUCUGCAUUGAAGCUGGUAGAAUUGUAGUCACUGUUUUGCAAGCAGGUGCCUGAGUGAAUGCCACCUUGGUUUGCAACAACUUGCAAGACAACACUAGCAGCUGGAAAUGGUAAAUGGUAUAUAGUCUUACUAAAUGGUACAUAUUUCUAUAUAUUUUAAAUUAUUAUAUUUUGAAGUGCUCUAUUAAGUUGAUCGCUUCAUCAAAAUUCUAGGUCUGUGUUUAGAAGUGUGUUCAUUGUAAUACAUGAAAAAUAUAAUAAUAUUGAUAAUAACUCUAAUGAUGGUCUAGCAUGUCCAAACAUCAAAAUGAUCUAGUUGAUAACAAGCGGAACUUAAAUGGGAAUGUAUCCUUCUAUUAUUAAACCCAACGUUGGUUGUUUUACUUUCAGCAAAACAUCAUCUGUCACAUUAAAUUAAUGC
rnacentral:lncRNA from 1 species